rnacentral:rRNA from 1 species
UACGGAGGGUGCAAGCGUUAUCCGUAUUCACUGGGUUUAAAGGGAGCGUAGGUGGGGUGGUAAGUCAGUGGUGAAAUCUCCGGGCUUAACUUGGAAACUGCCAUUGAUACUAUCAGUCUUGAAUAUUGUGGAGGUCAGCGGAAUAUGUCAUGUAGCGGUGAAAUGCUUAGAUAUGACAUAGAACACCAAUUGCGAAGGCAGCUGGCUACACAUAUAUUGACACUGAGGCACGAAAGCGUGGGGAUCAAACAGG